AGUACAAGAUAAGAACAAACUAUAAAAAUCAGUUGAAAUAGGCUUAACCCAUCAGAUGGAUACAAAUAAAAAUACUACACAUAGUGGAGGUGGCCGCUUACUUGUAUAUAUCCCGACAACAAAAAGACACUAAGUACAGAUCUGAGAGUACUCACAGAACUUUACUGACAGACAUAUUUCUCUUGUCAAGGCCUUUUAUAGCCAACUCUACGGUAUGGGUUUUUUCUCAUUGUUGAAGGCCACAAGGUUGCUUACAUCCACAUUAUUUGAACUUUGAUGGAACGUUGUCUCCUUGGCAAUCAUACAGGUCUCUAAUCCUUAUUUUUACAAAGCAAUGUUCUAAUUCCAAUAAUAAUGGGAAAAAAGGGGGGGUGACCUCAUAAAAUCAAACUCAUAGUUACAUACAUGACAUAUAUAUUUCAAUUAAUUUUGAACAUUGUGAAACAACUUUUUUACUGGCACGUCUGUUAUUCAUCAAAUUAAAAUAGCUGCCAUUAGAACGUGUCUUAUGUGUCGGCCUUGGAGUACAUAAUAUUUAAAAUGGGUACAACAACCCCUUCCCCCUUUCCUCCAUAUCACGCCAGGAUUUCCAUGUAUGACUGAGAAAAGAAACCUGAAACCCUAAAAAUCAUUUUUAUUGAAAUAAAAGGUACUUUAAGAAGCUUAUUUAUUUUGAAGUAUACAGUAUACCUAAUUUGCAAUUGAAGUUUAUGUAACAAAAUUUGACAGACAUGUCUGUG
rnacentral:lncRNA from 1 species